rnacentral:rRNA from 1 species
GACGAACGCUGGCGGCGUGCCUAAUACAUGCAAGUAGAACGCACAGAUUAUACCGUAGCUUGCUACACCAUAACCUGUGAGUUGCGAAUGAGUGAGUAACGCGUAGCUAACCUGCCUGGUAGCAGGUGAGAACUACUGGAAACGUUAGCUAAUACCGCUUAAUAUUAAUUAUUGCAUGAUAAUUGAUUGAAAGAUGCAAUCUCAUCGAUACAAGCUGGACCUACGUUGUAUUAGCUAGUAGGAGAGGUAACGGCUCACCCAAGCGACGAGACAUCGCCGACCUGGGAGGGUGGUCGGCCACACUGGGAAUGGGAACAGGCCCAGACUCCCUAGGGAGGGAGCAAUAGGGGAUCUUUGGCAAAGGGCGAAAGGCUGACCGGGCAACGCCGGGGGGGUGAAGAAAGUUCUCGGGUCGGAAAGAUUCGUUGUAAGGGAAGAAAGGGUGUGAGAGUGGAAAGUUCACACUGUGACGGUAUCUAAUCAGAAAGGGACGGCUAACUACGUG